rnacentral:rRNA from 1 species
CCUACGGGUGGCAGCAGUAGGGAAUCUUCCACAAUGGACGAAAGUCUGAUGGAGCAACGCCGCGUGAGUGAAGACGGGUUUCGGCUCGUAAAGCUCUGUUGGUCGUGAAGAAAGAUAGAGGUAGUAACUGGCCUUUAUUUGACGGUAAUUACUUAGAAAGUCCCGGCUAACUACGUGCCAGCAGCCGCGGUAAUACGGAGGUGGCAAGCGUUGUCCGGAUUUAUUGGGGGUAAAGCGAGUGCAGGCGGUUCAAUAAGUCUGAUGUGAAAGCCUUCGGCUCAACCGGAGAAUUGCAGCAGAAACUGGUGAACUUGAGUGGGGAAGAGGAGAGUGGAACGCCAGGUGUAGCGGUGAAAUGCGUAGAUAUAAGGAAGAACACCAGUGGCGAAGGCGGCUCUCUGGUCUGCAACUGACGCUGAGGCACGAAAGCAUGGGUAGCGAACAGGAUUAGAUACCCGAGUAGUC